AACAUAUAUUGAGGACAUUUCUACAGGAGCUCCUUGAACCUAUCCCAUGUCUCAAAAAGAGAUUCCAAUUACGUUUGCACAAAAUAAGAUAUUUCAUUCCUAAGCUU